rnacentral:rRNA from 1 species
AUGGCUUCCAAGCAGAUGCUUGCCGUGGCGGUGGAAAUCGCCAUGGUCUUCCUCCCCUUGCUCGCCGCCUCAACCACUGUGCACCCCGUGGGCGACGGCAGUGGGUGGACGCUCGGUUUCGACUACACCGCCUGGUCCGAGAGCAAGCAGUUCACGGUCGGCGACGCGCUAGUGUUCAAGUACAACAAGGCGCUCCAUAACGUGGUGGAGGUGAGCGGCCCGGAUUUCAAGGCGUGCAAGAACACCAAGGGCGGCCCCGCCUGGAGGUCCGGUGCCGACCAGGUCCACCUCGGCGACGCGGGGAGGAGGUGGUUCAUCUGCACCGUGGGCAACCACUGCCAGAUGGGCUUGAAGCUCAACGUCACCAUCCUCGCCGCGGACGCGCUUUCGCCUGCGCCGCCUGCACCAGCUCCGUGGUCGACGGUGCCAUCGUCGUCUACUCCUCACAAGUCCAGGCGGCCCUUUGUUUCCAAGUGGUGA